GCAUUGGUGGUUCAGUGGUAGAAUUCUUGUCUUCCAUGCAGGAGACCUGGAUUUGGUUCCCAGCCAAUGAA
rnacentral:tRNA from 1 species